CCCGUACGAUCACUGAAGUUAAGCAAUGAUGAGUCUGAUCAGUACCUAGAUGAGUGACCGCUUUGGAAUACCAAGUGUUGUA